GGGGGGGGGGGGGGGGGGGGGGGGGGGGGGGGGGGGGGGGGGGGGGGCGGGGGGGGGGGUGGGCGGAGGUGGGCGGCGGACGGGGGGGUAGCGCGGGGGUGGGCUACCUAGAGGACCGGGAUAAGUUCGGGACGGCGGGGCGCAUCCCGGAUAAUAUAUUGACCGGGAUGGGUCAAUAGUGACCGAGCGGCUGGCUGUCACUUAUAGAUGGGUGCGCGCAGCAUUAGCUCGUUGUGAAGGUACCGGCUUACCAAGGCAACGAUGCGUAGCCGACCUGAGAGGGUGAUCGGCCACACUGGAACUGAGACACGGUCCAGACUCCUACGGGAGGCAGCAGUAGGGAAUCUUCCGCAAUGGGCGAAAGCCUGACGGAGCAACGCCGCGUGGGUGAUGAAGGGCUUCGGAUCGUAAAACUCUGUUAUUAGGGAAGAACAAAUGUGUAAGUAACUAUGCACGUCUUGACGGUACCUAAUCAGAAAGCCACGGCUAACUACGUG
rnacentral:rRNA from 1 species